GCGGUAUGCUUAACACAUGCAAGUCGUACGGGAGUUUUUAACUCAAGUGGCGGACGGGUGAGUAACACGUGAGAAUUUACCUUUAGGAGGGGGAUAACAAUUGGAAACGAUUGCAAAUACCCCAUAUGCUUUUUUAAGUGAAACGGAUUUAUUCGCCUAAAGAAAAGCUCGCGGCUGAUUAGCUAGUUGGUAAGGUAAUGGCUUACCAAGGCGACGAUCAGUAUCUGGUUUGAGAGGAUGAUCAGACACACUGGAACUGAGACACGGUCCAGACUCCUACGGGAGGCAGCAGUGGGGAAUUUUCCGCAAUGGGCGAAAGCCUGACGGAGCAAUACCGCGUGAGGGAAGAAAGCCUACUGGGUUGUAAACCUCUUUUUUCAGGGAGGAAAAAAAUGACGUGUACCUGAAGAAUAAGCAUCGGCUAACUCCGUGCCAGCAGCCGCGGUAAGACGGAGGAUGCAAGUGUUAUCCGGAAUUACUGGGCGUAAAGCGUCUGUAGGUGGUUUAAUAAGUCAACUGUUAAAUCUUGAGGCUUAACUUCAAAACAGCAGUCGAAACUAUUAGACUAGAGUAUAGUAGGGGUAAAGGGAAUUUCCAGUGGAGCGGUGAAAUGCGUAGAUAUUGGAAAGAACACCGAUGGCGAAAGCACUUUACUGGGCUAUUACUAACACUCAGAGACGAAAGCUAGGGUAGCAAAUGGGAUUAGAUACCCCAGUAGUCCUAGCUGUAAACAAUGGAUACUAGAUGUUGAACAGAUCGACCUGUGCCAGUAUUAAAACUAA
rnacentral:rRNA from 1 species